AUUGAACGCUGGCGGCAUGCCUUACACAUGCAAGUCGAACGGCAGCACGGGAGCAAUCCUGGUGGCGAGUGGCGAACGGGUGAGUAAUAUAUCGGAACGUGCCCAGUCGUGGGGGAUAACGCAGCGAAAGCUGUGCUAAUACCGCAUACGAUCUACGGAUGAAAGCGGGGGAUCGCAAGACCUCGCGCGAUUGGAGCGGCCGAUAUCAGAUUAGCUAGUUGGUGAGGUAAAGGCUCACCAAGGCGACGAUCUGUAGCUGGUCUGAGAGGACGACCAGCCACACUGGAACUGAGACACGGUCCAGACUCCUACGGGAGGCAGCAGUGGGGAAUUUUGGACAAUGGGCGCAAGCCUGAUCCAGCAAUGCCGCGUGCAGGAUGAAGGCCUUCGGGUUGUAAACUGCUUUUGUACGGAACGAAACGGCGAGCUCUAAUACAGUUUGCUAAUGACGGUACCGUAUGAAUAAGCACCGGCUAACUACGUGCCAGCCGCCGCCGUAACAC
rnacentral:rRNA from 1 species